GUAGCCGAUGCACAGACGGUAGAGAUUCCGUCACCACCAAAAGAGUUAAACACAGGGACACAUUUGAAGUCUCGGAGCCGGGUGUUGGUUCCGGUAGCGAUCGAGGGAAGUUAGUACCGAAGUCCGGGAUGGAAGAUGGCGAGAAAAGCUGUGUGUAUUUCUGCGGUGCCCGUACCGCAAACCGACACAGGUAGGUAGGAAGAAGAUUCUAAGGCCAACGGGAGAAGGGUUGUUAAGGAACUCGGCAAAUUGACCCCGUAACUUCGGGAGAAAGGGUGCUCCAGAGAUGGAGCCGCAGAGAAUCGGCCCAAGCAACUGUUUACCAAAAACACAGGUUUGUGCUAAAUCGAAAGAUGACGUAUACGAGCUGACGCCUGCCCGGUGCUGGAAGGUUAAGAGGAGAUGUGCAAGCAUUGAAUCGAAGCCCCAGUGAACGGCGGCCGUAACGAUAACGGUCCUAAGGUAGCGAAAUUCCUUGUCAGGUAAGUUCUGACCCGCAUGAAAGGCGUAAUGAUUUGGGCACUGUCUCGACAGCCCGCCCGGCGAAAUUGUAGUACCGGUGAAGAUGCCGGUUACCCGCGACAAGACGGAAAGACCCCAUGGAGCUUUACUGUAGCCUAAUAUUGGGUUUCGAUGUUGCAUGCACAGGAUAGAUGGGACACUGGGAAGUGAUCGCUUUGGCGGUCAUGGAGUGGCCGUUGGGAUACCAUCCUUGCGAUAUUGGAAUUCUAACCUGCGCCUUUGAAUCAAGGCGGGGGACAUUGUUAGGUGGGCAGUUUGACUGGGGCGGUCGCCUCCUAAAGAGUAACGGAGGCGUUCAAAGGUUCGCUCAGCUUGAACGGAAAUCAAGCAAGAGAGUGCAAACGCAGAAGCGAGCCUAACUGCGAGACUGACGGGUCGAGCAGUAACGAAAGUUGGAGUUAGUGAUCCGGUGGUAUGUGAGUGGAAAUGCCAUCGCUCAACGGAUAAAAGUUACCCUGGGGAUAACAGGCUGAUCUCCCCCAAGAGUCCACAUCGACGGGGAGGUUUGGCACCUCGAUGUCGGCUCAUCGCAUCCUGGGGCUGUAUUCGGUCCCAAGGGUUUGGCUGUUCGCCAAUUAAAGCGGUACGCGAGCUGGGUUCAGAACGUCGUGAGACAGUUCGGUCCCUAUCUGUCGUGGGCGCAGGAUAUUUGAUGGGAGCUGUUCCUAGUACGAGAGGACCGGAGCGGACGUACCUCUGGCGCACCAGUUGUUCUGCCAAGAGCAUAGCUGGGCAACUAUGUACGGAUCGGAUAAACGCUGAAAGCAUCUAAGCGUGAAGCCGACCCAAAGAUAAGAUAUCCCACUGAUUCGAUCAGGUAAGAUCCCUUGAAGACUACAAGGUUGAUAGGCACAAUGUGUAAGUGGAGUGAUCCAUUCAGCAAGCGUGUACUAAUAGAUCGAGGGCUUGAUC
rnacentral:rRNA from 1 species